ACAGGCAGUGGCUCGGGUGGCUGUUGUCCUUGAUUAUCUUUUUGGCCUUCCUGUGACAUCGGGUGGUGUCGGUGUCUUGGAGGGCAGUUAGUUUGCCCCCGGUGAUGCAUUGUGCAGACCUAAUUUACCUCUGGGGAGCCUUACGUCAGUAAACUUCGGCAAAAAAACAGUAAUUAAAUUCUUGCCAGCAGCACAGUUACAGUCAUCAACGAUCUAGAUAUCAUGACAACAGCCUAACGAGCUCUGCUAGGGCGAGUAAAAUGGUUAGAGUGAGGUGUUCUCUCAUUUGUGUCUGGAAGUAGCGAGCCAACUUGAGCCAAUUAGCUUGGGUGCUUGCCGUUGUGCGGUCAGAACGUUGGAACCUCCGGAACCUCCGAGAGCGAAACGCUCUGAAUUUAUGAACAGACAAUUUGACAAUGUUCUGAAUUUACGAACGUCCAGAGUGCCAGAGUGAAUUUAGGAACACACAUCGAGAUGCACCUGCCUGCUAUUACUGUAAAUGUGGACCAUGAAAAGGCUUUUGACAAGGUUAUUCAUUAGAGAGCAUGACAACUCUCUGCCUGAAUAGUAGAAGAAGGAGAAGAAGAAGACACACCCCACCGCUUUCCCUCCUUACCGUAGAAUGACACAGGAACCCAAACACCACCAUCACUAUAGCCGGGAACAGGAUAGUUAUCCGAAAUCUGAUUGGCCCAGAGGAAAGGAACCUAAUUGCCAGGCGAGGGUGCACAGAGGAUGAUGAUGGAUAAGAUGAAGAUGAAGGGAGAUUUCCAAUUGGUGGUGGUAUCUGGUAAGAGAUGUGGUCUGUUUCAAACAUCGGCCAGAACAACUCAGGUGACUGUGUUAGCAGUUCAGCUGAGUCCCGUCUGGCAGGAGUUUUGGUUAUGGCUGCGAGACGUGGAGGAUCUUCAUCACCGUGAACUGGGCGCUGCAG